rnacentral:misc_RNA from 1 species
CAUGUUCGAGGGAUCCGCCAGCCCAGUGGCCGCGCGCGAUCCCGGUCCUUUGUGACUCAAGAACCACCCGUGAAUACGCCCCUUGUUGCUUUGGCGGGCCGUGGUCCCCACGCCGGCCCCGCGCUGGCAGCGCCCGCCAGAGGACCCAACUCAUGUGUUUAGUGGUGUCCGAGUCUUUUAUAAUAGUUA